AAAGGGCCUUCCUGUGCCCCACAGGCUGGAGGCAGAAGGGCUUUAGGAACCCUGGGGUUUACAGCUGUGUGGUCCUUCAUGGGCAACAUAGAAUGGAGAAAACACACAGACAGGCACGAGGGGCAGCUGUAACCAGUAAUUUAGGUAACACUUACCAGAAGAGCUGGUCCCAGAAGGUGAGGCUGCAGAGCACACACAGGCAGUGAGCUGUCCACAGCCACCCCCAUGGAUAGACAAAGAAGGAAGAAAAGUUGGCUACAGGAAGCCUUCUUAAACUUUACUACUCUACUCUGGCCUCCACUGUUCUCUGCGAAAACACAACUUCCUUCACACUUUGCCCAUUAAUUCUUGGAUUCACUUUGCCCCCUGGGAGAAAGAUGUUUUACCACAGUCAACCCUGUGUCCAUCUGGAGCGCUGUCUACUGUAAAAGUCCUGUCUGCCAGCCCUCUGAAGACUUGAAAGUCUGGGGACACCGAUAGGAAGCAUCUUCACCCAGCUGCUGGAGGAUCUCAGGCUGAAGGAAUGAGGAAGAUGAAGAAGUGAGGAUUGGGACAAAAUGAUGUCUGGACAAACAAGGAAAUCCUUGCAAAACAUGAGCUGAUUUGCUUGACCCUGAACUCUCAGUGUCCGUGUAUCUCCUCACACCCUGGGCCUUGCAAACUUCUGCCUCUCGCUCAUUUGUGGGAUUAUGAGAAAGGGAAGGGAUUGGUUUGGGACAAGGAAGCUGAUGAAACCCACAAAAGUUCCUACAAGCUAGGCCUGAGCCUAAGAGAAGCACAAAGAGAAGGAUACAGAACACCCGUGAGAUGCUCUUGGCAAUGGGGCUUGGAAACUGGUCUGACCAGAGAGAAGUUGAGCCUGGAAUGUGGGAUAGUUUGCAUGUACAGGUGAUUGGGGGCGGGGGAAGCGUCAUUGAAUAUUGAACAUUCUAGAAUGGAGGAACUUGCUGGGAAUGGAAAACUAAGUCCCAGAACACAGAAGGAGGAGACUGAGUUCGUUGGACCUGGGAAGGGAGUAGAACUCAGUGUGAAGAAGAGCUGGACAUCAAACACACCGGGAGUCCCAGCUCAUCCACCGCACAACUGCUUGUCUGAAGUGAUGAGCCAGGGACAUCUGCUUCCCAAAAAAGAUUGCCUCCCCAGUGACUGUGAGGAAGGCAUCCACAGAGGGGCUGUGCUGGCUGCAGUGGGUGAUGAAUGCACGCAAUCAGGCGAGCAGCUUGCAAACAUUUCUGUCAGAUAGAGAACCCUGUCAUCUCAUUCCCAAUUUUAUUUCGUUCUCUUUCACCUCGUAUUUCAGUUAAUGGGAGCUGUCAAGGAGACACUUUGGUCCUUUCCCCUCCUCCUACAGCAGCUUAUGCAGUCUGACAGCCUGAGAGAUUUUUUUUUCCUGAAGACCUGCAUAAAAUAAAUUGUUAAACUUUCCCCGGGGAUUUAUAUAUCU